AAAAAAACAAAAAAAAACAAAUCAAAAAUGGGUUAAAAGCAUAGAACCGGUCCUAUAUAUGAAGUUUUUAGAACUGGUUAGAACCCUAACGUGUCAGGUUAGAUAAUAAAUUUUUCCCUGUCUCUCUCUCUCUUUUCGGAAUUCUCUUCCUCCUCCGACAACGACUAACCUUCUUCUCCAUCUCCCUCCUCCAACAACGACGACCAUCCUCUUCUCCUACUCAUCUUCUCCACGCUCCACCACACGAACCUUCCAUCUCACGCAGCGCCUUCGUUGCAGCGUCUCUAAUUCCUCAGAGGUAGUUCCGAUUCUGAAUAUCUCUCUGUAUACAUACAUACAUACAUACAUAAAAGUAUUUAUUCAGAAUCCUUAUUUGAUUCUCAGGUUAAAUCAGAGUACAAGCCUGGAAGCAACGGAAUGUGAUUUCAAAAGCCUAGAAGCAAUGGAAUGUGAUUCUUCUUAUAUGGCAUGUAUGAUGCGGGAAGCAACGGAAUGUGAUUUCAAAAGGUACGUGAAGAGGACAAGAAAAAAAAAAGAAGUGGUGGCAGUCACCAUGUGACAAGAAGAACACGUAAAGAGGCCAACAUGUGACAAGUUAUGUUUCAAUUCUCUUUAUAAGCUAUGCAAUAUUGAUCGAUCUUAUGAACAAACCAUUUCUACUUUAAAAAAAAAAACAUUCUACUUUAAAAAAAAUAAAAAAAAUUUAAGAACCUCAAUGAGAUUCUACCAUUGGACAAAGAAAAAUUAAAUUAAAUUAACAAAGGUUCUAAAUUUUUCAAAUCACUAUAUUUAUUACUAAUUUAUUGAUUAGAACCCAUGAGAGAUUCUUAUUGA
rnacentral:lncRNA from 1 species